AGAGUGGCAAGGGCAGGUAUGUUCCCAAGCUCCAUUGGGAUUGUUCCUGAUAUAUUGUUGUCCUGUAGAAGCCUGUAAAAACAAAAACUCUACAAUGAAGAACAGAGGCUUUUCAUGGCGAUGAAGAAGAUGACUACUCACACCGACUGAAGAUUUGUCAAAUUUCCGACGCUCGGCGACAGGGUACCCGACAAGUUCUGACUAGGAGCUCCUCUGCAAUGAAUUGUUUCAUUGGAACAAUCAGUGAUCAUGGUCCAGCUACAUGGAUCCACAGCAUUUUCAUCCCAAUUAAGAACAGAAUGAGGGUCUUUCAGAGCAGCUUUGAUGGCCAUCAGGGCUUGCACUAAAAGGUAAGCAAAGCAUUUACAGAAGAAUUCCUUAAGCAAAACAAGAACAAGAAGAACAAAAUGAAAAGUUGUUGAAGCAUUCUUCAAUGGCGUUGA